rnacentral:rRNA from 1 species
CCUACGGGAGGCAGCAGUGGGGAAUAUUGCACAAUGGGCGAAAGCCUGAUGCAGCAACGCCGCGUGAAGGAAGAAGGCCUUCGGGUCGUAAACUUCUGUCCUUAGCGAAGAAUAAUGACGGUAGCUAAGGAGCAAGCCACGGCUAACUACGUGCCAGCAGCCGCGGUAAUACGUAGGUGGCAAGCGUUGUCCGGAAUUACUGGGUGUAAAGGGAGCGCAGGCGGGAAGCCAAGUCAGCUGUGAAAACUACGGGCUUAACUUGUAGACUGCAGUUGAAACUGGUUUUCUUGAGUGAAGUAGAGGUUGGCGGAAUUCCGAGUGUAGCGGUGAAAUGCGUAGAUAUUCGGAGGAACACCGGUGGCGAAGGCGGCCAACUGGGCUUUAACUGACGCUGAGGCUCGAAAGUGUGGGGAGCAAACAGGAUUAGAUACCCUAGUAGUC